CGUUGAGGUGUCCACGACCAUGGUGACUAAAGCCUGCCAUGGUCGUAGAGUAUAUACUUAUACUAUAUACUAUACGACCAUGGCAGCCUUGACAAGGACAACAAGGAGACGGACAUCCCCCACCCCACCCCCUCACAACUGCACUACCCUAUCCCAUCCAUACCUAUUCCAUUUAUUUA